rnacentral:lncRNA from 1 species
UGGUCCAAUCGGAGCCAACCCAGGGACAUUUUCCUGGAGCGGCUGGGAAAGAGGAGUCUCUCGAAAUUCAGCAACUGCUAACAGCGAGGAGGGGUUUUGAAAGGUAAAGGCCAUUAGCUUGGAGGCAGAAGACAGACCUCCCUGACUGCUGAAUUCCUGCCGGCCUGAAAUUGGAGCAUUCCAAGCUCCUCAGAUGAGUCAUAAGCCACCAAGAUUGUGAGCCUCUGGGCUUCUCCCAGCUUGUAGGAGAAAUGCCUUGCAGGUGAAGAUGGUGAGGAAGUUGGCCCUGAAAUAGCCCAGCCCCUCGAAGAGACAAACAGGGAGGAGCAUCAUUCAGGUGCUUCACUGGGAAAUGAACCAGGAUAAUGUUCAUCUUAAAAUAACCUACUUCAAUGAACAUUCGGCCAAAAGACAAAAGGAAGGUAUUGCUAGGUAAUGUGCAGCCACUCUGUCACAGUCUUUUUUUUUUAAAUGAACACAAAUUCCUUGACUGUCUUCUUGCUGAGAGGUGAGGUCUCUGUCCCCCUCCUCUCCCUACUUGAAUCUGGAUGAGCUUGUGACUCACUUAUAACCAAGAAUAUGGAAGAAGUGAUGCUGUGUGAUCUCCUCAUGCCUGGAGCCUGUGAGCCUCUCUCUGAGAAGUCCAGUGCCCCUGAGCCCACCAUGCUGAAGAAGCCACCUGGAGAAGCCCCUGUUGACAGAGAGCCAGCAUCACCUGCCAGUCACCAGAAGGGAGCCAUCUCAGACAUCCAGCCCAGCUGAGCCUUCAACUGACUGCUGCCCCAACCAACAUGUGAACUGCAACCGCAUGAGAGACCCUCAAGUGAGAACCGCCCAGCUGAGCCUUUCCCAAGUUCCUGGCCCACAAAACCCAGAACAAAUUAAAAUGAGUGUUUUAAGCCAUUAAGGAGCAGGGUAAUUUGUUACACAGCAACAGUAACCAGGACACAUUCCCAAACCUAACUAGGAGGAAAUUUCCUCUUGAUAAAAAUGCUGAUUUUUUUAUUCAUCCUAGACCUUCAUAAGUCAGAAUCAUCUGUGGAUAAGGUAUAAGAAUCUGCAUUUUUUUUAAGACAAGCUCUCCCACCCCAGGUGAUUCAGAUGCACAGCCAGGUUUGGAAAUUUAAGACCUUGGAAGAGAGUCACAUUGCCUCUCUCUGAGUCUCAGCUUCCUUGUCUGUGAAUUGGGGAGGAGUGAGAGUUGGUGUGAGUAUCAAAGAAGACGCUGCAGGUAAAGUCUUUAGGGCCAGCCAGGCGUAGUGGCUCAUGCCUGUAAUCCCAGCACUUUGGGAGGCCAAGGCGGGUGGAUCAUGAGGUCAGGAGUUCAGCCUGGCCAAUAUGAUGAAACACUGUCUCUAUUAAAAAUACAAAAAAAUUAGCCAGGCAUGGUGCCAGGUGCCUGUAGUCCCAGCUACUCAGGAGGCUGAGACAGGAGAAUCGCUUGAGCCCAGGAAGCGGAGGUUGCAGUGAGCCGAGAUCACACCACUGCACUCCAGCCUGGGCGACAGAGCAAGACUCUGAGAAAAAAAAAAAAAA